CAGAGUUCAUGCCCUUACGGGUAGAUCUCCCACCCUUGUGUAUUUAUACCAUGUUGCUUUGGCGGGUCGCGCACUCGCGCCUUGGGCCUUCGGGCUCGAGCGUGCCCGCCAGAGGCCUUCUAAACUCUGAUUAUUAGUGUCGUCUGAGUACUAUAUCAAUAGUUA
rnacentral:misc_RNA from 1 species